UUUGCUCAGCUAACCGUUUCCUACUGAGGGCUCUCUGUGUAACGUCUCUAUGAGGAGUUCACUGUUCAACCUUAAACAGAUUGAAAUGACCGAUGGGGGAAAAUCACACCAAACCCAAGGGCUCUGUGGAAGCAACGUUCAGCGAGCGCCAGGCCCCUGAGCUGCUGCAGAAAGGCGGGUUGUGAAGGCGCCAGGGGCAUCUCAGAGAUCAUCUCGAGUAAUGGAGCCUGACUUCUGUGAUGAGUGAAAGAAUCCAGGUUGGUAAAACAGAUGGCCAUCGAAUGACCAAAAAAACAGACUGACGGCCUGAUCCUGCAAAGAACUUUGACUUCCUUACAAGGAGUGAAAAUUGUACAGCCUGAAGAUUAAGUUUUUGAACUGGAUGCCCAUCCCAGCAUGAUGGUUGUCCCGGGCACAAGGGAGUAUAAAGAAUAGGGCAUUGAGGGAACCCAGAACAGGGACUGUUUGAUGCCACAUAAUGGCAAACAUCCCCAGAUUAGACAGAGAUCUUAAGCGUUGUGGUAAUGGAUGCUUCUGUUAUUGGUGAGAAGUCUUGUCUGUGAGUGGAAUGGGAAUCUUGCCUCUGGGUUUCAUCACAGCUUCAUCGACUGUGGUGAGCUCUCUAGCAAAGGUGUGACAAAUCUUACUGAGCACGUUUUGUUUAUGAAGAGCUGUACUGGGUGCAAGAGGUAUAAGAAAGUAUAGGUACAGUACUGUAAGCCAGAAGUUCAUGAUGUGGUUAGGGAGAUGCACCAUAUUCUUGUGAAAAGAUGAUUAAGUCGGGACCAACAGGGCAUGUAAAAGCCAGGAACAACCAGGGAAUGUUCUAGAAGUGCCAGGGACGGAGUGGGAGCUGUUAGGUCAGGGAAGACUUGAGGAGAAGGAUAGGACUGAAGCUGGGCCUUGAAAGGCUGGAGACUUUCAGUGAUUGGAAAUGUGAAAAGGAGACUAUUCCAGGUGGAGGAAGACCAUGCUGAGGCCCUGGUGAGGAGAUGACCCCUGAGCUUGGGUGGAGAGGAAAGAAGAAUGUCCUGGGAGGUAAGGCUGAAGGAUCACACAGAUGUGGAGGCCACGCAGAGUUUGAAGUUCAUCAUGUUGGAUCCUCCUGAUCCGGGAAGGGAGCCGAGAAAAGCAGGAUGUCAGGAAGGUGAAGGCAGAAGAGAGUGGCAGUCACCUCAGGAGGAGCUCACAGGGUCCCAUCUCAGUGACAAGGCUUAGGUCUGCAGAGCUGUGUGGACUGUGCUGUGUUCUAAGCCACGGAUUGUAAAUGGAGCCCUCCUUCCUCGGCAUCCCUCUUCCUCCCCGGAAGCCUCUGCUCACCAUCUGACUAAACUGGGGCCACCCAAGCUUCUGCUCAGGGAGUUUCCCCACAAGCCUGGAGCCAAAGCGAAACAAAGGCAGGUUCAGUUUUUUAAAGUUCACUGCUUGAUUCUUAUUUGCUCACUCUUGGAUUCCCAUUAGUGCUGCCCUGACUGAUUUGAGGCCUUACUAGACAUUUGGACGAUUUCUUAUUUUCAUAGCUAACUCAGAAGGUCAUCUUUGAGCUCUGGAAGCAUCUGCUCAACCUGACAGACAGCUAAGUCAGAGCCACAGAUCUGGGGGUGGGGGUGGGUCUGCCCUGGUCAGGGAGGGCUCCCCUACUAAGAGCCCUGGGAGGAAAGGAGCGUGGACCCCCCUUUCUUGAAACUUUUUUCCGUAUUUUCUAAACACCUCAAUGUGUGGCCUGUAGGCAAACAGCUUGGGUAUCACCUGGACGUUAGUUAAAAAUAUAGAAUCUAAGGCUCCACCCCAGCCCUACUGGAUCAGGAUCUGCAUGUUUUACAAGAUCCCCAGGGAUUCAUGCGCACAUUAGCGUUUGAGAAGUGCUGCUUUCAACCUAGUAGGAUGGAAGGAUCACCUGUGGAGCUUUUAUUUAUUUAUUUAUUCUUUUUGAGGAAGAUUAGCCCUGAGCUAACUACUACCAAUCCUCCUCCUUUUGCUGAGGAAGCCUGGCCCUGAGCU